rnacentral:rRNA from 1 species
UACGAGGGGGGCGAGCGUUGUUCGGAAUUAUUGGGCGUAAAGGGUGCGUAGGCGGUUUGGUAAGUCUUGUGUGAAAUCUACAGGCUCAACUUGUAGUCUGCACGAGAAACUGCCGGGCUUGAGUGUGGGAGAGGUGAGUGGAAUUCCUGGUGUAGCGGUGAAAUGCGUAGAUAUCAGGAGGAACACUUGUGGCGAAAGCGGCUCACUGGACCAUAACUGACGCUGAUGCACGAAAGCUAGGGGAGCAAACAGG